rnacentral:rRNA from 1 species
UCUAAUUUCUUAACCCAUCUAGACCCCUUCAACUGUACUGAGAACUUCUAUAAUAUUAUAGAACCUUUUAUGCUAAAACUAGUAACAAGAGACAACCCCUCUCCCCAAUGCAAAUUAAAGCCAGCAAGAACCCACCACUGGCAACCAACAGACCUGAACAAAAGCGGCAACUUCACUAGAAAACCCCACUUCCCACAACUGUUAACCUAACACCAGAGCAUUUCAAGAAAGAUUAAAAGAAAAAGAAGGAACUCGGCAAACAUUAACCCCGCCUGUUUACCAAAAACACCGCCUCUUGCCCAUAUAAGAGGUCCAGCCUGCCCAGUGACACUUGUUCAACGGCCGCGGUAUCCUAACCGUGCAAAGGUAGCGUAAUCACUUGUCUUCUAAAUAAAGACCAGUAUGAAAGGCAUCACGAGGGCUAAACUGUCUCCUUUCCCUAAUCAGUGAACCUAAUCCCCCCGUGAAGAAGCGGGGAUCCUAGUAUAAGACGAGAAGACCCUAUGGAGCUUUAAACAUCAUAACACCUGCUACUACAUUUCUACUUACUCAGGUAUCCCCCUAACAGCACACUGAUUAUAUGUUUUUGGUUGGGGUGACCGCGGAGAAAAACCAAUCCUCCGUAAUGAAAGGGACUCUCCCUAAACAGCAAGCUACAACUUUAUGUAUCAGCAAACUGACAUUCAUUGACCCAAUAUAUUGAUUAACGAACCAAGUUACCCUAGGGAUAACAGCGCAAUCCACUUCAAGAGCCCCUAUCGACAAGUGGGCUUACGACCUCGAUGUUGGAUCGGGGUAUCCUAGUGGUGCAGCCGCUACUAAAGGUUCGUUUGUUCAACGAUUAAAACCCUACGUGAUCUGAU